ACAUGGAGAUGCAAGAUGUGUAUUGCGUUAUGCAUGUUUAUGGUUUACACAAAGCGUAUAAGGAAAGUUAAGCAGUUGUACAAAGCCGAAGGGUUCUCCGACUUACGAUGGAUAAAUUGAGGGUCGUAAAAGCUUGGGUGCGAGCAAGUAGGAGGAGAAUUUCAAUCGAAGAACAGCUAAAGUACAAGAGAACUGCAGCAUGUAAGACUACAUGUACAUCGACUUUGAAUAAUCUACCUGGUAUAUCCUCAAAAAGGCAACUCAAAUACAGAAAGUGCAUAUAAUUUGGAAAAGAGACCAUCAAUCCACUGGGGGGUAUCGCAUGAAAGCAAUGAUUAUAGAAUAUUGUAAGGUUGGAGGAUCGAGUUAUAGUACAACAGGCAG